rnacentral:rRNA from 1 species
GAUGAACGCUGGCGGCGUGCCUAAUACAUGCAAGUCGAGCGAACAGACGAGGAGCUUGCUCCUUUGACGUUAGCGGCGGACGGGUGAGUAACACGUGGGUAACCUACCUAUAAGACUGGGAUAACUUCGGGAAACCGGAGCUAAUACCGGAUAAUAUUUCGAACCGCAUGGUUCGAUAGUGAAAGAUGGCUUUGCUAUCACUUAUAGAUGGACCUGCGCCGUAUUAGCUAGUUGGUAAGGUGACGGCUUACCAAGGCAACGAUACGUAGCCGACCUGAGAGGGUGAUCGGCCACACUGGAACUGAGACACGGUCCAGACUCCUACGGGAGGCAGCAGUAGGGAAUCUUCCGCAAUGGGCGAAAGCCUGACGGAGCAACGCCGCGUGAGUGAUGAAGGUCUUCGGAUCGUAAAACUCUGUUAUUAGGGAAGAACAAACGUGUAAGUAACUGUGCACGUCUUGACGGUACCUAAUCAGAAAGCCACGGCCAACUACGUG